rnacentral:rRNA from 1 species
GCACCUACGGGGCGCAGCAGUGAGGAAUAUUGGUCAAUGGGCGGGAGCCUGAACCAGCCAAGCCGCGUGAGGGAAGAAGGUACAGCGUAUCGUAAACCUCUUUUGUCAGGGAACAAAGGCGGGGACUAGUCCCCGGAUGAGGGUACCUGAAGAAAAAGCAUCGGCUAACUCCGUGCCAGCAGCCGCGGUAAUACGGAGGAUGCGAGCGUUAUCCGGAUUUAUUGGGUUUAAAGGGUGCGCAGGCGGAUUUUUAAGUCAGCGGUCAAAUCGUGGGGCUCAACCCCAUCCAGCCGUUGAAACUGGGG